rnacentral:lncRNA from 1 species
UUUAAUCUUGUUGUUUGAAUCUACCGUUUAAAUUGUAUGUUUUUAGGUGUGGUAAUACCAAAUCUCUACUUGUUUCAAAUAAAAUAUUUCAAAUAAAAAAAAAAAAAAUAAACAAAACAAGUUUUUAAUCAAAUUUAAAUUAAUAUCAUAAAACAUUUUUUAAAGUUGAUAUUAUAAAUCUAAUUCUUUUAAAAACUAAUAUUAGAGAACAAAUAUCAUAAAACAUUUUUUAAAACUAUAUAUCAUAAAUUUUUUAACACUAAUGUCAUACCCCCUUCUCCUUUGGUCAGUUAUCUUAUUUUUCU